rnacentral:lncRNA from 1 species
GGUGAACUCAUGGGGAAACACGCCACUCGACACAGUGGACCCCGAGAUCCACGAUCUCAUCGAGAAGGAGAAGCGUCGGCAGUGCCGAGGAAUCGAACUGAUCGCCUCGGAGAAUUUCACUUCAUUCGCCGUCAUCGAAGCCCUCGGCAGCCCCCUCACCAACAAAUACUCCGAGGGGAUUCCCGGUAACCGCUACUACGGCGGCAACGAGUUCAUCGACGAGAUCGAGAAUCUCUGCAGAUCGAGGGCUCUGAUUGCGUACCGUCUGGACCCCACCAAGUGGGGCGUCAAUGUCCAGCCGUACUCCGGCAGUCCGGCGAAUUUCGCGGCCUACACGGCGGUGCUCAACCCGCAUGACAGGAUCAUGGGGCUGGAUUUGCCGUCGGGGGGGCAUUUGACGCAUGGGUAUUAUACGUCUGGGGGGAAGAAGAUUUCGGCGACUUCGAUUUAUUUUGAGAGUUUGCCGUAUAAGGUGAAUUCGACGACUGGGUAUAUCGAUUAUGAGAAGCUGGAGGAGAAGGCUUUGGAUUUUAGGCCUAAGUUGAUUAUUUGUGGUGGAAGUGCUUAUCCUAGAGAUUGGGAGUAUAAGAAGCUCAGAGAGGUUGCUGAUAAGUGUGGGGCGCUUUUGCUCU